rnacentral:rRNA from 1 species
CAGCCGCCGCGGGAAUACGUAGGUGGCAAGCGUUGUCCGGAAUUACUGGGCGUAAAGCGUGCGCAGGCGGUUUUGUAAGACAGGCGUGAAAUCCCCGGGCUCAACCUGGGAAUGGCGCUUGUGACUGCAAAGCUAGAGUGCGGCAGAGGGGGAUGGAAUUCCGCGUGUAGCAGUGAAAUGCGUAGAUAUGCGGAGGAACACCGAUGGCGAAGGCAAUCCCCUGGGCCUGCACUGACGCUCAUGCACGAAAGCGUGGGGAGCAAACAGGAUUAGAUACCCGUGUAGUCCCUGUCUCUUAUAC